AACGAACGCUGGCGGCGUGGAUAAGACAUGCAAGUCGAACGGGACAAGUAGCAAUAUUUGUCUAGUGGCGAACGGGUGCGUACCACGUGGGCAACAUGCCUGGAAGAGCGGGAUAGCCCGGGGAAACCCGGAUUAAUACCGCAUGUGACAACGGGGCGGAUUCGCCCUGUUUUCAAAGGUGGGGACCGCACGGCCUGCCGCUUCCAGACUGGCCCGCGUCCUAUCAGCUAGUGGGCGGGGUAACGGCCCACCAAGGCGACGACGGGUAGAUGGUCUGAGAGGACGACCAGCCACACUGGAACUGAGACACGGUCCAGACACCUACGGGUGGCAGCAGUCGAGAAUCUUUCACAAUGGGGGAAACCCUGAUGGAGCGACGCCGCGUGGAGGAUGACGGUCUUCGGAUUGUAAACUCCUGUCAUGAAAGAACAAGCGGAGCGGGUGAACAGCCCGCCGAGUUGAUAGUAUUUCAAGAGGAAGGGACGGCUAACUUCGUGCCAGCCGCCGCGGUAACAC
rnacentral:rRNA from 1 species